UGGGGAAUAUUGCACAAUGGGCGCAAGCCUGAUGCAGCCAUGCCGCGUGUGUGAAGAAGGCCUUCGGGUUGUAAAGCACUUUCAGCGAGGAGGAAGGUGGUGGACUUAAUACGUUCAUCAAUUGACGUUACUCGCAGAAGAAGCACCGGCUAACUCCGUGCCAGCAGCCGCGGUAAUACGGAGGGUGCAAGCGUUAAUCGGAAUUACUGGGCGUAAAGCGCACGCAGGCGGUUUGUUAAGUCAGAUGUGAAAUCCCCGGGCUCAACCUGGGAACUGCAUUUGAAACUGGCAAGCUAGAGUCUCGUAGAGGGGGGUAGAAUUCCAGGUGUAGCGGUGAAAUGCGUAGAGAUCUGGAGGAAUACCGGUGGCGAAGGCGGCCCCCUGGACGAAG
rnacentral:rRNA from 1 species